rnacentral:rRNA from 1 species
GACGAACCGUGCGAACGUUAUUCGGAAUCACUGGGCUUAAAGCGCGUGUAGGCGGCCCGGCACGUCGGACGCUGAAAUCCCACGGCUCACCCGUGGAACUGCUGGGCAUACUGGCGAUCUUGGGCCAACUAGGGGCAACUGGAACAAGCGGUGGAGCGGUGAAAUGCGUAGAUAUCGCUUGGAACGCCAAAGGUGAAAACAGGUUGCUGGGGUUGUGCCGACGCUGAGACACGAAAGCCAGGGGAGCAAACGGG